GACGUAGGGAGCAAGCGUUGUCCGGAAUUACUGGGCGUAAAGAGCUCGUAGGCGGGACCGUAAGUCCGAGAGGAAAUCUCAAGGCUCAACUUUGGGGCUUUCUUGGAUACUGCGGUUCUUGAGGAUAUCAGAGGAAAGUAGAAUUCCCGGUGUAGCGGUGAAAUGCGUAGAUAUCGGGAGGAAUACCAGUGGCGAAGGCGACUUUCUGGGAUAUUCCUGACGCUGAGGAGCGAAAGCGUGGGGAGCGAACAGG
rnacentral:rRNA from 1 species